GGCUCGGUGCCAAGUUGGCAGCAGGAAAGUUUUCGAGUCAUCUGGCCGAGCUUGUUCGUCCCUGUAGAGUUGCUCUUUGAAAAACAACCGGCGGCCGGUGCUCCGACCCCUGCAAGUGUGAGGACCCCUGUUCCUCCCUUGCCUGGGCAUCACUGAAUUAGGCACCUUCGCUUUUGGAGAAUUCCUCCUUUAUGAUUCCUUCUUUAUUCUCCCUGUUUCAUCCACAUAAUAUGCUUCUGUUACCGCAAAUAUCGAUUCCCGGACACACAGAUGCAGAAGUAGGAUGUUGCUGAGAUGUCUGUGUUGCUGUGAUUCACUCGAUUCUCUGGGAAUGAGGUAAAUGACCUCACAGUCGAGUGGCCAUAAUGGAAGUGGGGCCUGAAGGGGGCAGAGCGGGGAGUGAACAGUCAUCUGUUUGUCAAGAGACAAGGUAAGCGGGCCUUUCCCUCAGCAGUGAGAAGACCCCGAGCGCUGCAACACCUUCCCGCGAAAUGUGCUCGUCUGGAAACUGAUAUCCACGAAGAGUUUCUACCUGGAAACAAAGUACGCAGCCUAAACCCAACCUGUGCUUGGCAAGGGAAACCACGCCCCGUGGUUGUGCCGACCGUCCAGGAGCAGAGGCCGAAAGGCCCAGCGAAUGAACCGGCCCGGGUCUCGCUGUGGCCGGAGUGUGUGAGUCCUCUCAACUUUUACAUGUUAAAAUCUUGACCCCUAAAUUGCUGGUAUUGGGGGCUGGAGCCUUUGAUCAGAUCACGAUGGGAAUCAUCAAGGCAGAUUCACGCUCUUAUUAAAGAAACUCCAGAGGGCUUGCUCGCUCAUUCACCCCGGGGGACAUAGUGAGCCAUCGGCCUCUGCGAUCCCGAAGAGGGCUCCCACCAGAAUCCAAGUGUGUUGGCUCCCGGAUCUUGCACUUUGAAGCUUCUAGAACUGUAGGAAAUAAAUAUUUGUUGUAUAUAAUCCGCCUAAUCUAU
rnacentral:lncRNA from 12 species